rnacentral:rRNA from 1 species
UACAGAGGUGGCAAGCGUUGUUCGGAAUUACUGGGCGUAAAGGGCGCGUAGGUGGCCUUCUAAGUCAGACGUGAAAUCCCCAGGCUUAACUUGGGAACUGCGUCUGAUACUGGAAGGCUUGAGUUCGGGAGAGGGAUGUGGAAUUCCAGGUGUAGCGGUGAAAUGCGUAGAUAUCUGGAGGAACACCGGUGGCGAAGGCGGCAUCCUGGACCGAAACUGACACUGAGGCGCGAAAGCUAGGGGAGCAAACGGG